rnacentral:rRNA from 1 species
ACGAACGCUGGCGGCGUGCUUAACACAUGCAAGUCGAACGGAAAGGCCCUGCUUUUGUGGGGUGCUCGAGUGGCGAACGGGUGAGUAACACGUGAGUAACCUGCCCUUGACUUUGGGAUAACUUCAGGAAACUGGGGCUAAUACCGGAUAGGAGCUCCUGCUGCAUGGUGGGGGUUGGAAAGUUUCGGCGGUUGGGGAUGGACUCGCGGCUUAUCAGCUUGUUGGUGGGGUAGUGGCUUACCAAGGCUUUGACGGGUAGCCGGCCUGAGAGGGUGACCGGCCAAAUUGGGACUGGGAUACGGGCCAGACUCCUACGGGAGGGAGCAGUGGGGAAUAUUGCACAAUGGGCGGAAGCCUGAUGCAGCAACGCCGCGUGCGGGAUGACGGCCUUCGGGUUGUAAACCGCUUUCGCCUGUGACGAAGCGUGAGUGACGGUAAUGGGUAAAGAAGCACCGGCUAACUACGUG